rnacentral:rRNA from 1 species
AACGAACGCUGGCGGCAGGCUUAACACAUGCAAGUCGAGCGCCCCGCAAGGGGAGCGGCAGACGGGUGAGUAACGCGUGGGAAUCUACCCAUCCCUACGGAAUAGCUCCGGGAAACUGGAAUUAAUACCGUAUACGCCCUACGGGGGAAAGAUUUAACGGGGAUGGAUGAGCCCGCGUUGGAUUAGCUAGUUGGUGGGGUAAAGGCCUACCAAGGCGACGAUCCAUAGCUGGUCUGAGAGGAUGAUCAGCCACAUUGGGACUGAGACACGGCCCAAACUCCUACGGGAGGCAGCAGUGGGGAAUAUUGGACAAUGGGGGCAACCCUGAUCCAGCCAUGCCGCGUGAGUGAUGAAGGCCUUAGGGUUGUAAAGCUCUUUCAGUAGGGAAGAUAAUGACGGUACCUACAGAAGAAGCCCCGGCUAACUUCGUGCCAGCAGCCGCAGUAACAC